rnacentral:rRNA from 1 species
UACGUAGGGGGCAAGCUUUGUCCGGAUUCAUUGGGCGUAAAGCGCGUGUAGGCGGUCAGGUAGGUCCGGUGUGAAAACUCGAGGCUCAACCUCGAGAGGUCAUCGGAAACCAUCUGGCUAGAGUCCGGAAGAGGAGAGUGGAAUUCCCGGUGUAGCGGUGAAAUGCGCAGAUAUCGGGAAGAACACCUAUGGCGAAGGCAGCUCUCUGGGACGGUACUGACGCUGAGACGCGAAAGCGUGGGGAGCGAACAGG